AAUCGGUGAUGACAGUGGCCAAAUCCGAGCAUCAGAAGACCACCCAGUGUUCCUGAUGCAUGAUCUCUGUGGUUCUGAGA